rnacentral:rRNA from 1 species
CAGCCGCCGCGGGAAUACGUAGGGGGCAAGCGUUGUCCGGAAUCAUUGGGCGUAAAGCGCGUGUAGGCGGCUCGAUAAGUCUGCUGUGAAAGUUCAGGGCUCAACCCUGAAAUGCCGGUGGAAACUGUCGAGCUUGAGUCCGGAAGAGGCAAGUGGAAUUCCUGGUGUAGCGGUGAAAUGCGCAGAUAUCAGGAGGAACACCAAUGGCGAAGGCAGCUUGCUGGGACGGUACUGACGCUGAGACGCGAAAGCGUGGGGAGCAAACAGGAUUAGAUACCCCAGUAGUCCCUGUCUCUUAUAC